rnacentral:rRNA from 1 species
UACGUAGGGUCCGAGCGUUGUCCGGAAUUAUUGGGCGUAAAGGGCUCGUAGGCGGUUCGUCACGUCGGGAGUGAAAACUCGGGGCUUAACCCCGAGCCUGCUUCCGAUACGGGCAGACUAGAGGUAGGUAGGGGAGAGUGGAAUUCCUGGUGUAGCGGUGAAAUGCGCAGAUAUCAGGAAGAACACCCGUGGCGAAAGCGGCUCUCUGGAACGGUACUGACGCUGAGACGCGAAAGCUAGGGGAGCGAACGGG